UACAGAGGGUGCGAGCGUUGUCCGGAAUCACUGGGCGUAAAGGGCACGUAGGCGGCCUGGUAAGCGUGCGGUGAAAGCCCGGGGCUCAACCCCGGGUCGGCCGUGCGAACUGCGAGGCUGGAGCACUGUAGAGGCAGGUGGAAUUCCGGGUGUAGCGGUGGAAUGCGUAGAGAUCGGGAGGAACACCAGUGGCGAAGGCGACUACCUGGACCAGCACUGACACUGAGGCACGAAAGCGUGGGGAGCAAACAGG
rnacentral:rRNA from 1 species